UACGUAGGGCGCGAGCGUUGUCCGGAAUCAUUGGGCGUAAAGCGCGCGUAGGCGGCCCUGUAAGUCCGUUGUGAAAGUCAAAGGCUCAACCUUUGAAAGCCGAUGGAUACUGCAGGGCUAGAGUCCGGAAGAGGCGAGUGGAAUUCCUGGUGUAGCGGUGGAAUGCGCAGAUAUCAGGAGGAACACCAAUAGCGAAGGCAGCUCGCUGGGACGGUACUGACGCUAAGGCGCGAAAGCGUGGGGAGCGAACAGG
rnacentral:rRNA from 1 species